AUUGAACGCUGGCGGCAGGCUUAACACAUGCAAGUCGAGCGGUAACAGGAGAAGCUUGCUUCUCGCUGACGAGCGGCGGACGGGUGAGUAAUACUUAGGAAUCUGCCCAGUAGUGGGGGAUAGCUCGGGGAAACUCGAAUUAAUACCGCAUACACCCUACGGGGAAAAGGGGGCACUUGUGCUCUCGCUAUUGGAUGAGCCUAAGUCGGAUUAGCUAGUUGGUGGGGUAAAGGCCUACCAAGGCGACGAUCUGUAGCUGGUCUGAGAGGAUGAUCAGCCACACCGGGACUGAGACACGGCCCGGACUCCUACGGGAGGCAGCAGUGGGGAAUAUUGGACAAUGGGGGCAACCCUGAUCCAGCCAUGCCGCGUGUGUGAAGAAGGCCUUUUGGUCGUAAAGCACUUUAAGCAGUGAAGAAGACUCUAUGGUUAAUACCCAUAGACGAUGACAUUAGCUGCAGAAUAAGCACCGGCUAACUCUGUGCCAGCAGCCGCGGUAAUACAGAGGGUGCAAGCGUUAAUCGGAAUUACUGGGCGUAAAGCGAGCGUAGGUGGCUUGAUAAGUCAGAUGUGAAAUCCCCGGGCUUAACCUGGGAACUGCAUCUGAUACUGUUAGGCUAGAGUAGGUGAGAGGGAGGUAGAAUUUCAGGUGUAGCGGUGAAAUGCGUAGAGAUCUGAAGGAAUACCGAUGGCGAAGGCAGCCUCCUGGCAUCAUACUGACACUGAGGUUCGAAAGCGUGGGUAGCAAACAGGAUUAGAUACCCUGGUAGUCCACGCCGUAAACGAUGUCUACUAGUCGUUGGGGAACUUGAUUCCUUAGUGACGCAGCUAACGCAAUAAGUAGACCGCCUGGGGAGUACGGCCGCAAGGUUAAAACUCAAAUGAAUUGACGGGGGCCCGCACAAGCGGUGGAGCAUGUGGUUUAAUUCGAUGCAACGCGAAGAACCUUACCUGGUCUUGACAUAUCUAGAAUCCUGCAGAGAUGCGGGAGUGCCUUCGGGAAUUAGAAUACAGGUGCUGCAUGGCUGUCGUCAGCUCGUGUCGUGAGAUGUUGGGUUAAGUCCCGCAACGAGCGCAACCCUUUUCCUUAGUUACCAGCGGUUUGGCCGGGGACUCUAAGGAUACCGCCAGUGACAAACUGGAGGAAGGCGGGGACGACGUCAAGUCAUCAUGGCCCUUACGACCAGGGCUACACACGUGCUACAAUGGUAGGUACAGAGGGCAGCUACACAGCGAUGUGAUGCGAAUCUCAAAAAGCCUAUCGUAGUCCAGAUUGGAGUCUGCAACUCGACUCCAUGAAGUUGGAAUCGCUAGUAAUCGCGGAUCAGAAUGCCGCGGUGAAUACGUUCCCGGGCCU
rnacentral:rRNA from 1 species